ACUUAAAACCUUGGACUCAUCCGGAUGGUUGUUUAGAAUCAACUACGCUGCGUAAUGGGAGAGUACUGGCAAUAAACUGCACUGAAAUCUGUAAGAAUAACACGAGGCAAAGGCUAAAGAAUGGCACUCCGUGUUUGCUCAACUACGUACGCAAAGUCAAGGUGCCUACUGUGUCUGAGAAUAUUGCGGAAGGAAUAUGCAAGAACGGAGAGUGUAUAAUACUUC